rnacentral:piRNA from 1 species
UGACUUUUCGUUAGCUGCCUGAUAAG